rnacentral:lncRNA from 1 species
CAGCACCCCCUUAGUACGUAGCUGUACGCAAACCCGUAGUAGCCAGCGCAGCCGCAGCACAGCAGCAGCGUCACAUAACCAUGCAAGUCCGUACAUUGUACGGUGGCACUCUGAAUUCACACAGAACCUUAGUUUUCUAGACGCUUCUUUUUUUGAAUUGGAUUGUUACAGGGAGGGAGGCUUCUGGGCCAUUUGAACACAUUUCUUUUAGAAAGCGGAGUCAGUAC